CUGGGUGCAUAAAUCAUUGGAUCAUGCUUUUUGAUGAAUAGUGAACCAUAGGACUUGUUUCUACAGAAGAACUUAGGAACUUGGUAUUAUAUAGUGUAGCUGAAACUGAAAGCUACAAGAUUUGAAUAAGUAAGUUCUACAUAUACACUAACACAGUCAUACAUACAUGUGUGUGUGCGUCAAUGUGUGAUCCCAUAAGUUCCGCUUUGUAGCAUUACAAUUUUGGUCUUCCG